UACGGAGGGGGCGAGCGUUAUUCGGAAUUAUUGGGCGUAAAGGGCGCGUAGGCGGCCCGGUAAGUCAAAGGUGAAAUCCCUCGGCUCAACUGAGGAACUGCCUUUGAAACUGUCGGGCUUGAGGCCGGGAGGGGUAGCGGAAUUCCCAGUGUAGCGGUGAAAUGCGUAGAUACUGGGAGGAACACCAGUGGCGAAGGCGGCUACCUGGACCGGUUCUGACGCUGAGGCGCGAAAGCGUGGGUAGCAAACAGG
rnacentral:rRNA from 1 species